rnacentral:rRNA from 1 species
GACGAACGCUGGCGGCGUGCCUAAUACAUGCAAGUCGAACGAGAGCGACCGGUGCUUGCACUGGUCAAUCUAGUGGCGAACGGGUGAGUAACACGUGGGUAACCUGCCCAUCAGAGGGGGAUAACAUCCGGAAACGGAUGCUAAAACCGCAUAGGUCUUCGAACCGCAUGGUUUGAAGAGGAAAAGAGGCGCAAGCUUCUGCUGAUGGAUGGACCCGCGGUGCAUUAGCUAGUUGGUGAGGUAACGACUCACCAAGGCCGUGAUGCAUAGCCGACCUGAGAGGGUGAUCGGCCACAUUGGGACUGAGACACGGCCCAAACUCCUACGGGAGGCAGCAGUAGGGAAUCUUCCGCAAUGGACGCAAGUCUGACGGAGCAACGCCGCGUGAGCGAAGAAGGUUUUCGGAUCGUAAAACUCUGUUGUUAGAGAAGAACAAGUGCUAGAGUAACUGUUAGCGCCUUGACGGUAUCUAACCAGAAAGCCACGGCUAACUACGUG